UCAUCAGGCAGCCUCUCCAUGCUGGUGUGUUUGGCGUACUGGAGGUGCUUUCCUCCUUCUCUGUCAUUUGGCUUUGGCAAUUCUGAGCGCAUACAAAGCGGCGCUGCAAGCAGGAUAUACACACCCUCAAGGUGACAUACUGUCUCACAGCUCUUUCUCACAACUCAGUGGUUUUCUCAGAAGCCUGAGUGACGAUUAUGCUGCUGUGGUGUGCAAAACGGAGCCUGAGAUUACGGUGAGCUGAGCUAAAAGUAGUGUAACAGUGGAGGUACUGCCGUGAAGUCUGCAUUUCUGUGGUGGCGUUCUGAGCAGGUGUUUGAAAGAGGAGGUGUUUCCUUCUGGUAAAGGAACAGAGGACUUGGCAAUCUGGGAACUGCCAGCGCCACGGUUUACUGAACAAAGGUGAUUGCCUGGAAGAGAGGAUAGUCUAUCUAGCUAGUCACAAGGAACUACAGAGAUGUAAGCAGGCCCUUUGCAGUUAUUUUUCUUCAAUGCUUCCUCCUGAAGAUGUCAUUGCAGUUGCAGAGCUGUUGUUUACCCUCCUCAGAUGCUUGCCUUUAUCCAUAUAGGCACAAUGCUUGCCAAGGGUUUUGUAACAAGGUUUGUUUCUGGACCAGCCUUAGGACUCACAGCAGUAGGUCAAUAUCCCUGCUUUCAGAUGGCUCUAUCUUAAACAACAGGAUUAAGAGCUGGGGGUUGCUUUUCAGCUAAUUAUGGAGUUCCACUACAAACGAGCACUGUCUGAUCUUCUGCACAGUCUGGCAAUUUGGACACAAUCUGUUUGACCAAUGCUAAAGAAGAAAAUUUCAGAAAGGAAUCAUGUGUCCUUUUUCAGGUUAGGUACUGAGAGUCGUACAACUGGAAACGUUCUUAUUUUUAAAAUUUUAUUUCACCUGAGAACAUAUAAUAACUUACUUGCCAAAUGUAUUUUUCAGGGUAAUUCAUCUGUGUCUACCGAAGCUUUCCCAAUUCAGGGUAAUUUUACCACUUGUUUUCUUUGAUUAAAAAAAAAAUCUAUAAUGUUGGAAGCGUAUCUUUCUAAGUUGCCAUCUCUUGUCUUUACAAUAUGUAAAUGGGUUGUAUUUUGGAGUCUGACCUAUUUUUAGAUCCUAGUCUAACAUUGUAUGGUUAUAUAUUCUAACUGUUUCUUAAAUAUUCAGUAAAAAGAAGUGUUUUUGAAAAUGUUUCAUAAUUCACAUAUUUUUAUACAGCUUAGUAGCAUUAACUAUGAAAGAUAAAAAUUGGGAAAAAACUUAUUUUUCUAAUCACAGCCUGAAAAUCUCAUUUAUGAUUGAGCUGACUGAUGCCAUUAUUAAUUAUAAUAUGCUUUUAUCCUUUCCUGACUACACCAAUUCCCAGAAAUAUUGUGAGUGGUGCUUCUGCACACAGUUAACUCCCUAGUAAACAUACCCAUCUGCUCAGUGUUUUCCUUUCUGCAUAACUUUUACCUCAGUGGCAAAAACAGCUGACUGAGGGUAUUAGGCAAGAACUACAUCUGUUCCUACAGAUUGUCUUGUCAUAAUGAAAUCAGAAAUCAGGUGAUGUUAAUUCUAUCAGACGAUAGCUACGCUGACAUGCCAGCUAGAGUUCAAGGAUCUGGGUGACAGGAAGCUCCAAUGCCUACUACCUUAAGUACCUAAGUGCAAGGAACAUUUUUGCUUCUGUCUGGAGAGCUCUAACUUGGAGAGUGUUUCAAUUUAAAAUGGCUUUUCUCAAAAUUGUAUAUUCUUGAAAUAGAUAAAAUUUGGGCCAGAUUGUUGUGUCAUGGAAAUGGUUAUGAUUCCAAUGAUUUCAAAUAUUUUAAAUACUUUUUCUUUCAAGGGAAGCAACGUCAUCUUCAGACUUGACUGUUUUAAUGGGGGAGGUAUGCAUAGAGUGUCCAUAUGACACUUAGGAUAGUGGGACGAUCCUUCUAAAUUCUGUUACAGACUGGAGGUGGGUUCCCCUUCAUGCUGUGACAAGUUUUAGAAGUAGGAUGCUAGCUAAUCAAAGCUUCAUAUACUCACUGGCUCUGUACUUAGUACAUAAAAAUCUUGAGCUCCCUGUUUUACCCCUGGAAAUUUAGUGAUAGUAACUAUCAGUUUGGCUUUAUAUAAAGGUGAAUGAGUUUAAUAAGGCAGCACGGGCAGGCAGGCUAAAAGAUGUUCUGGAGAUUACUGUUUAGAAGUUUCAGCUGAAGCAAAACCAUUUAGUUUGGUAUUUUAAAUUAUUUUUAAAAGGAAAUUAAGGUAGAGAAAUGUUUGAAUGUGUGCACUUUUUGAUCCAGCAGUGGAAUUCAGAUGGAUCCUUGUGCCCAUGAAGUUAAGCCAUUUAUGUGAUGAGGAUUUGGUAUAAUGUGUAAGUAACAGAGCUCUUGAUGCAUCUCCAUACUUCAGGAUUGCUACUUUGAAUUCUUCAAAUGCAUAAACCAAGAGUUUUGUCAUUCAGAUUUGACUUGCACACACUCCUGCAGCCCAGCAUGUGAGUGCUUAACUCAUGUAUGUGUUUAAUAUUUAACAGACUGCUGCUUUGUUAUAGUAACAACAGGAAAAAAGUACAUAUGAAUCGCUGCUGUCACAAAUAAGGACGUAGGAGCACGGUAAGCAGAGGAUCUUAAUUUCUUUCUGAUAUACCAAGUAUAACCUUUCACCUAAAAAACGCAAUCACCUGUAGAAGGUAGUUGCUAUGCUAUUAUUUUUAUUAGGUAUUAUUAAGUAGCUUUUACUUCCUUCUGAUAAGGGACAGACUACAUAUACAUAUAACAACUUAAAAUACAAUUUGUAUCCAUAAACUUCAGCCUUUCCAAGUCACAUUUUCUGACUGUUCAGAGGGUUACUAUUUCAUGAGAAAGGCAUGCUUAUGAAAUGAGGCUAAAUCUAUAAAAAUCUUUAUUGCUGAAUGCUGAUGUUUAGGGUUGUGGAAUAUGCUGAAAAUGAAGGGUUUAUGUUUCCCAAUAUUUUCUACAAAUGGUUAACAAAUUAUGUAGUCUUGGUCAGAUUGCUUUUACUGCUUCCUAAAAAGGAUGCAAGAGGCUGUGGGGGCAAGUCCUUUUUUACCUAAGAGAUCAGGAAGGCUAGAAUGGAGCUAGAUCUGCGAAAAUAUCAGCUUGAAUAGGAUGUUGCCAAAGGACUUGAUUAUUUGAAGUUUCUUUCUCUGUUUCUUUUUAUGGAAACUGUUUUAUUCAUAUUGUAAUGAAGGACAAGGGAAAGGAAGUGGUACUGAUUUGUAGCAGAGUUGUAACAAAUAAACCCCUCUGCUGAGAAGAGGGAGAAGUGGAGGUGGUUUCCCUGGGUUUUCUCUGACCAGGGUGAUAUAGUUUGAUGCUGAAUGCAUGGGAACAUGACAGCUGGCUUUGCCCCACAUCAGGGGACUGACUCCAGCUGUUAAUGGUGGGGAGCAGAGGCUGCUGUGUGCAUUAAUUUUUUGGGACCACUGAGGCAGAGCUCAGGGACAUGCUGUCAUUUGGCACGCUCUUUCUCAUAAUAGCCACUGGGAUCAGUAAUGAUCCUUCCUGAAUGAUAAAGUAGCCAUUACUGGUAUUGGUCAUACCAUCCAGCUUUGGCUUAUCCGCAGAUUUCAUAAGCAACCAAGUUGUUCUCAAACUGCAGCUCACCCAACUAUUAGAUAUCAAGCUUAGUGGACAUCAAUAGCAAUCCAUGAAGAACACUGUUAUGAUGAAAAACUAUAAUUUAUAUAAUGAUUUUUUUCCAUCUUUAUGAUUUCGCUUUGAUCACAAACUUUUGAAAAUUCCCCUUUAUUCACUUUAUAGUCAUAAGCGUUCAUGUCCUCUCCAUUCUAAUGCAGUGAAUUCAAAAUUAUUGAAAUAUUUUGAAAGUAUAAUCAAACUUUAAAUAAUAUUUAAAAAACAGUGAUUUGCCACUGGGUAAUGUAUCAAAUGCAUUGCUUAUAUUUAUCUAGAUCACAUAGUGAAACGUUUCCCUUGUUGACCCCAGAGCAAGGAAACAGUGUUCUUGCUUCAGUCACAUUGCACUGGCACGUGGCUUGGUCACAUUGCAGCCACAGAUCCGUGAGUGAGGUUAUCGAAUGGUCUGAGAGGUGAAAGCAGUCUUAACAACACGUGCAGCUAUAUCAGAAACUCCACAAACUUUUGGGGAGCAAAAGACAAAGCAAAACUUGUUUGAUUUAUCUGGCACAUGCCUACUCCAUGACCUGGAAAUGAAUUUUUCUCUAUUCUUGACCGUUCAGGACUUUUAAAGCAGAACUGUCUUACAGAAGAUUGUGGAAUUGUGUCUGUCUUCAAAUUCUUGGAUUUUGUUAUAAUUUUCAUGUUCUCUCUCUACAUCUACAAAUUUGCUGAUUAUAUGGCCUCAGCAGUCAGAAAAAAAAUAGUGAUUCUGUGUUCAUUUGGCUUUAGUUGCAUGCCUUUAAGAUGUCAAAAGGGGCAAGAGCUUCAUCAGGUGAUGAGCUCAGUGCUUUCUGAUGAUCGCAGGCAUUUAAAACCGGUUUAUGAAUUUUCAGACAGAAUUGAGUGAAUUUAUUAACACAUAUAUCUGCAAGACAAGAAUAUAUCAUAUCCCUGUCACAAAUGAAAACUAUUAUGCUAUUUCAUGCAUUGUUUUCCUUCUGUGAGCUUUCAUCCAAGGAUGCUCCUCUGUUCUAUGGAAAGUGAGAGGUGGUGAUAGCUCAAUAACCAUGAUGCUCUAGCCCUGCUUUCUGAUUUGGCACAAUGAUAUUAAAGUACUGAAAGACUUUGGAUUUAUCACAAUCCAAGUGUUAAACUUGACAUCUACAACAAUUAUAUGAACUAUCACUAUUUAAGUUUCCAAUGGAAAUGAGGUCUAGAUUUCACUAAAGUGAUAUCAAUUUUUAUAAGGAUCUGCUAUUUGUGUGCAGGCAGUGCAGGACUGUUGCUUUGCCUGUGGAAAAGAAGUUGCAAUUCUUGAUUACAACUUCAAGUUGACAUCUGAAUGUCAAAAGAAGCCAAAGAACACUUAAGUUGUAGAGAAAACAGGAAGGCUAAAAAUGAGUGAAAGUCAAGGCAGACCUUUGCUCUUAAAAUCAGGCUUGAGCUGCUCAUUACGCUUUAUCAGUUGACAAGAAUUAAAAAGUAAAGAAUAUAAGGUCAGAUAUUAUGUGUUUGAGUUCAGAUACAGUGUACGAGUAUGUUAUAUGUUGAGACCUAACCUUCAAGUGCUUUUCUUGUGAGAUAAAUGAUAACUUGCACUUACAUUCAUGUCCAUGCAUACUUCCUAUGUGAGAAUGCUGGUGUAAUGAACACCCAGGUUAUGCAUAUAAAACAAUGAAGUUGGAAGGGUAAGUGUAUUCAUCUUCAGUGGAAAUUUAAAUGCAAUAAACUCUGAAAUUACAUAAGCUGUAAAAAAUUACUUAAAGGUUUGUUCUCAUAUGAAUAGUCUCAACAGCAAAGCAGAAAUAUAAAGACCUUGUUCUUCUGUCACGAGAAAUUGCAGUAAUCCUUAGGCUGUUUUGGCACUCUUGCUGAGAUACGUGGAAAGACCUAUCUCCAAAACGAUUAACUUACCUGCUCAUGA